AGUCGAGCGGUAAGGCCCUUCGGGGUACACGAGCGGCGAACGGGUGAGUAACACGUGGGUGAUCUGCCCUGUACUUCGGGAUAAGCCUGGGAAACUGGGUCUAAUACCGGAUAUGACCUUACAUCGCAUGGUGUUUGGUGGAAAGAUUUAUCGGUACAGGAUGGGCCCGCGGCCUAUCAGCUUGUUGGUGGGGUAAUGGCCUACCAAGGCGACGACGGGUAGCCGGCCUGAGAGGGCGACCGGCCACACUGGGACUGAGACACGGCCCAGACUCCUACGGGAGGCAGCAGUGGGGAAUAUUGCACAAUGGGCGAAAGCCUGAUGCAGCGACGCCGCGUGAGGGAUGACGGCCUUCGGGUUGUAAACCUCUUUCGACAGGGACGAAGCGCAAGUGACGGUACCUGUAGAAGAAGCACCGGCCAACUACGUGCCAGCAGCCGCGGUAAUACGUAGGGUGCGAGCGUUGUCCGGAAUUACUGGGCGUAAAGAGCUUGUAGGCGGUUUGUCGCGUCGUCCGUGAAAACUUGGGGCUCAACCCCAAGCUUGCGGGCGAUACGGGCAGACUUGAGUACUGCAGGGGAGACUGGAAUUCCUGGUGUAGCGGUGAAAUGCGCAGAUAUCAGGAGGAACACCGGUGGCGAAGGCGGGUCUCUGGGCAGUAACUGACGCUGAGAAGCGAAAGCGUGGGUAGCGAACAGGAUUAGAUACCCUGGUAGUCCACGCCGUAAACGGUGGGCGCUAGGUGUGGGUUUCCUUCCACGGGAUCCGUGCCGUAGCUAACGCAUUAAGCGCCCCGCCUGGGGAGUACGGCCGCAAGGCUAAAACUC
rnacentral:rRNA from 1 species